CUGUUUAAUUCACAGAAUGCAUCCAGGCCUACUCAAGCAAGAGUUUAUAAUAUGCUGCACUGAAAAAUACAAUGCUAACAAAAUUAUAUAUGGGAGGGUAUUGACUUUUCUUCAUUAUCCAGGUUUUAAUAGACCAAACAUAAAAGCUGGCCAAGAACUCAAUUUCAUACAAUUCAGUUGAGCCUGACACUGGUCUCUGUGAGGAAAAACCUGGAUCCAAGCAGCCUAAACCUGCCAGCUCCUAUUUAUAAUUUUUUAAAUCAGAAAGCAUCACCUCAGAAAUCAUAGGUGGUGGCAAGCAAAAUACAGCAGUUUCUCUUUGGCAUCAACUCAAAAGAAUUUCAAAACCAAACAGAUGAAGGAGAAAUAUACUUGUAAAUACCAAGUCCAUGACUGAAAUUUGGGGAUUAAGGGAAACUGGACAACUCAUCUCUGAAGAAACUUCAGGGAGCUUUAUUUUUGGCAGCAGAAAGCUGGAAACCACAUUGCUUCUCCUUGGAUAUUCCUGGAGAAAUACUGGACAAAUACAUAUUUCAUCUUUAUGGAUCAUGACAAUGCUGCAUAACUACAAAAAUACAUACAGUGAUGUUAAAACUGACAAUACAGAUAAAACUAUCUUCUAAUAAUACUUACAGAUAAAGACUUGCAUGUGACGUGUGUUCAAAAAUAUGAUUAUUCACAUUACAAAUAAUAUUCCAUGCCUAUUAUCUGGUAGAAUAUGAUUGGUUAUUCACAGAAUCAUUCACACAAAUUUGUCCUAUCUUUUUAAAUACACAUCUCAUUUAUUACAUGGAAUCUACUUUGCUCUGUUAUCAGCUCCUGAGUUAUCUAUUUGUUCAAUGCUCAUGUCAAAUUCUUAGAAAAAGACUUCUUAUGGCAUAUCUUACAGAGAUGGGUUCAACUGUGUAGGCAUCAUGGGUUAAGUUAGGAUGCAAAAUAUGCCUUCCAAUGAAAUAAACACUAUGAAUUAAGUUGAUGUAAGCAUGUUAAGAAACCUUGCUUCUGAAACAUCAUGGUCCUAAGAGAGCUCAACUGUACCAGGUUGUUUAAAAAUAUUGAACAACAGACUAUCUAAUUUUAUUUUUUUAAUUAUGUUAAUGUUGUCAAAA